UGUGGGAGGGGGCUUGCUCCCGAUAGCGGUGUGUCAGUCACAGACAAGCUGGCUGAUAUACCGCUAUCGGGAGCAAGCCCCCUCCCACA
rnacentral:misc_RNA from 1 species